CCUGCGGGCCGCUCCUGAAUGCGGCCUCGGAGGGCUUCAUUUGCCCGUCGGAGCGGGCGGCCAGGCUCCUCCCGUGGCGCGGCGGAGGACGGGGUGAGCCUCCCUGGCACUUUACUGCCGGAAUGACCCAGAGUGCCUUGGGCAGUGCCUGAGGAUGGGGCCGGCCGUCAAGCGUCAGUCAUCAGGGGUUUGCUGAGCAGAUGGCCCCAGCCCUCUGUUCCCCGCCUCGCCUUCCCGCUAGAACAGUUAGGUGUUUUCCAGAAUUUCAAGCAGCAUCCCUGUUUUUCCGAGAUUAUGCACUCCGAAGUGGCUUGCUGAAUAGAUAAGUCUCUGCAAACUGCCUUGGCAGGGCUCAGGAUGCCCUCCUCUUAGACUAGGCCUGACCCGAUCCUGCUUUUCAUCUGUCUACUAGCAAAGGAGCUUUAUUGAAGUCAACAUGCUCAAGCCGGUAACAUAUUUCAAGUCAACAAGGCGUCUGAAACAAUUAAGGUAUUCCUCAAAGCAAGAGAGGGGAAGAGAAUGGGACCUAUCGAAGUCUCUGACUGUUGUCCAAGUGGCCUUUUUGUUUCCGCCGGUUCUCCCCUCUGUUGCUCCCUCUGAGGCUCCUUUGUUCUUUCCACGGACUAACCCCUGCUAGCGCUGGUGAAAGCUCUGUGAGUGCACACUGCCUCAACAGCUGUUGAAGGAGCUCUUUGCUCUGUGUUUAUUCUUCCAGCUACAGCCUCAUUAGGACUCACCAGUAGUAUCUAGAAAAAUUGCCCUUUUUUCCUUGUGAUCUUUUGGUUUUGAUGUAAUUUUGCAUUGCGAGAGGACAGUGUUGAUACUGUGCAACAGACUUGCAACUUUUUUGGGAACAGAUAUAAUAAUGCCUUUGUCAACAGACCAGUUCCAAUUUCUUUCACUUUUUAGGUGCCUUUACAUUUUCAUUGUCAUUUUUAUUAUAAAAUAAAUAUUUUGUACAAAUGCAUUCCUUCAAAAUGUAAGGCUACAGCAUGGUACAGUGAAGACUACAGACAGGGACAGUGCAGGAUGAAUGUAUCAGCUGAGUUUCAUCUCAUUGAGCUUCAGCUGUUUUGAAACUAGGGUUCUACUAUGAGUUCUUUGUCUAGGCUCCUUCUAGUUAAUGAAGAAAGAUAAGAGCUCCAGAGGGCAAUUGAUACAACAUGGGUUUUGGCACUUACCGUAUGAUGAAUUUUGCUUGAGUCUGGGUGCUGGGUCUCCUGUACCCUCCCAUCUGCUGUCAGGUCUACCAGGAAUGUGCAGCUGGAGGCCUAGAAGGAAGUGGGACUGUCCCUUUCUGCGUCUGCCUCCAAUUAGAUCAUGUACAGUGUAAUAUGGAAGGGGGCCCUGAGGGUGUGGUUUGACAAGCAGCUGAUCUAACAACUCAUGACUGUUGAAAGGAUGAUCCCAGCUUUCCAUCCCUUCUCAUUUUUUUUCUCCCUACCCUCAUCUCCAGGUCAUCCAGCCCCUUUGCCAACUCUGCUGCACCUCUGGUGCCUCUGUUAUCCAACUCUACUUGCUAACCCACUAAAAUCUGUUUACUUUUUAUCUAAUGGUUUAAUUUUUUGCCAGGUUAUGAAGGUGCCUCUAGUCACAGAAGCCUACAGCCAUUGUAAAGGGAAGUGGUGAUAGUGUGCAUCUGGCAGCAGGGCGGGGGGUGGGGGAACAGAAGAAUAGAAGACCUCCCUGUAUGGGUAGCAGUGAAAUGUUAGGCCUACAUGGCUAGUUCAGAGCCUUUGCCAAAUGCUUUCUUCUGACUUUCAGGUUGAAAGAAGCAGUCAUUUUUGCCCGGCAUUGCUCUGGUCCAUUGCCCAGCUACUGCUAGAAUAGUUUCCAGACCACAGAACUGAUCCAACUGAAAAAUAACCCUGAGGGGAGAAAGGAGAAGGUGGGAGAUGUUAGUUUCAGUCAUACCAGCUACCUGUUCAAGUUUACUGAACCCUUAUGUCACCAAGAAUGAAGAUACUCUACAGAACUGGGAACAAACUACUCAUGCUGGGCAAAGGGAUUUGGGAAACUGCCUUUCCUUAUGUUAGUGCUCACUUAGGCCAGUUUAAAUUUAUGCCAAACUACAGCCUUAGGAUGGGGUUAGUUGUCUGUGGACAGCACAGAAACUUGCUUCUCUUGACUUACAGCAAAAGAAGUCUAGGUAUCAGCUCUUACCUGGUAUGUCAGACAACUAAAUCCCAUUCUUAGCAUCCUUGGCCUGAUUUCCUGUUUCCAUCAGGAUCAAUAGAAACGACUAGUUUUUGAUAGCUUAUUUGAAUGCUGUAACAACCAUUCCUUUGAUGCAGUGCAACACUUUAAAUACAUUCAAAUUAUUCUCUCAAAAUCUGAAUACAUUUCCUUGGCACAUCCUAAAAAUAUCUUUUAUUUAUUAUAUGUGUUGGUUCCAAACAAAUGUCACAUUAAUAAGCAGAGAGGCUUGGGUAGGUGUACGUCAUUAGUCACGCAGGCAGUGGUUUCUUUUUCCAAAAUACUUCCAGAAUUCAAUCUGACCUCUUCUAACAAUGAACUAUUUAUAGGAUUCAUAAGGGCCUUAUCCUCCAACCCUGACUCAGCCAAAACUCACCACUGACCUUGACCUCCUAUAGUCUAUUCUUAUAGCCUUACUCAUGUGAGGAGCUUUUAUUCGCUGACCUGAUUUAGGGAGUGUAUUCUCAUGAGUAUGAUUUUGCAGGCUUGGUUCCCAGCUCAGUGGGACUUGGUAAAUGUCACAGAAUUGAGUCCUGAGAUACAUAUAUUAUUUUUACAAUGUUAUAAAUAAAAACCAGGGGGAAAAUGAGCAGCUAAGAUCUGCUUCCAACACCACAACAAUAAACUGAGUGUAAUUCCAUCAGGUGUUUACCAGUAGAAAUAAAAGUAUUGAAUACUCCUUAUUUUGGAAGAGAGUGCGCAUAUUUUUAGAAGAAAGCAGUCACUAAGUUUCUGAAUCAUAACAAUUAUUACUAAAUAAAGUAGCUGUUUUUUCGCAACAAGAUAUAAUUGUUUUUAAGUAGAAUAUUAUUGCAGUGUUAGGUGAUUACACUAGCACAGUAUGACAAUGGCAACUUUUUUCUGUAUUUUUUGCGUCUUCUUCUGUAACAUCUAAAAAACCUCUUGAUCUAUAACUAACUGCCCCUAGUAAUUUUCUGUUCUUCAUUGUGAUGCAGGAUGGUACCUUUUUAGAAGCUUGUUGUUAGUGGAGCUGGGUAACCAGUGUGUUGUCUUUAACAAAAAAAUACUCUCACCAGUCUACUAUCUUUCAAUUUUUUUGAAUGACUCUUCAUUUAUAAAGAAUAUAAUAUACUUGAUGUGUCUUCUUUCCAACUUAUAUUGUGUUACAUAUCUCUUUCAUUUCCUUUUUUAUUUUCUCGCUUUAAAGUGGAAGAGUCCAAUUUUUUAGGUGCUUUCGUAAGUCCUCAGUGCUUUUUUCAUUCACAUUUGAACCACUGCUUUUUAUUUCCCUCCAUUUUAUUGCACGUGUUGAAAAUGUCUUUAUUAUAUACUUGAAUCAUCAGUAUAUUAUAUGGUGGUCUUUUGUAGCUUCUGUAUUUUAUUUGUUCUUUUGAAUAUAAGCAUGCAAUGAGCAAGUGUCUUCAGUUAGCUGUCUACUACAAUGCCUAGGCCUUUCUCUUGAGUAGUUACUGUAAAGGUGGAAUCCAUUAUGCUUAUGAGUAACUAAAGGAAUGCCUUCCAGUCAGCACUGUCGUGCAUUUAUCAGCAUUUGACUUUGUAUUGAUAAGGAGCAUGGUUGGCUCCUUAGUAGCUCCAUAGUAGCACCCUCUACUCUGCCCUGGUGAGGCUGCACCUGGAGUGCUGUGUCCAGUGCUGGGCUCCCCAGUUACAGAGAGACAGGGAGCUACUGGGGAGGGGCCAGCAGUGGGCUACGGAGGUGAUGAGGGAGCUGGAGCAUCUCCCUGAUGAGGAAAGGCGGAGGGAGCUGGGCCUGUUUAGCCUGGAGAAGAGAAGACUGAGAGGGGAUCUUAUCCAUGCAUACAAAUGCCUUAAUGGCGAGUGCCAAGAGGACGGGGCCAGGCUCUUUUCGGUGAUGCCCAGCGACAGGACAAGGGGCAAUGGGCACAAACUGCAGCACAGGGAGUUCCAUGUGAAUGUGAGGAAAAGCAUCUUUACUGUGAGGGUGACAGAGCACUGGCACAGGCUGCUCAGAGAGGCUGUGGGUCUUCUUCUCUGGAGACAUUCAAAACCCACCUGGAUGUGAUUCUGUGCAACCUGCUCUGGGAGACCCUGCUUUAGCAGGGCAUUGGACUAGAUGAUCUCCAGAGGUCCCUUCCAACUCGACCAUUCUGUGAUUCUGGGAUGGUUUUCCUUUACAUGGGCAGAGCUGUUUGUCAGGCUCAUGGUUAGGCCUUUUAUGUCUGUUGUUAGAGACUCUGUCAAUCACUUGACCUGUGAUGAAGACCUCAUAAUUCCUAGAAAUCUUUUUUAGUCUUGAUUUUCUGGAUAUAUACACAUGCUACAGAUUUAUAAUACUGUUAGAUAAUUAGAUGAUUUACAUGAGAAAGUUUGUAUGUUAGCUCAAGAGCUUUCUCAUUCUAAACGUGUGGUUAGAUGUAUCCUGCCCCAUUUUUAUCAUAAAUUUAUCAGUUUAUAUUAACAUGUUAUUUACUCUGUAAUCCUUCCUCUGUUGUAUUUUUAUUACAAGUAAAAUAUUAUUGUAACCCAUGUUCUCUACUGGGAAAAAAAAGCUAAAUAAAGGUGAUUAUUUGCUUUCCAUAGCACUUCAGCCUAACUAUGCCAGUCACAUCAAAGGUCCAUCUAACUAGCAUCUUGCCUCUGACAGUGGCCAGUAAUGGAUGUUAAAAGAAAGCAUAUAUAAAACAUAAAAGGUUUUGUACUUCCUUGUGUUGUACCUCUUCCAGAUUAUAAAAAUCAGGAAUCAAGACAAUCUGGAACCUAUUAAUUCUUUUGGCACCCAAAAAAUUCCUGUGACAAUUAGUUUAAUGAUUUAAUAAAUGUGAGAAAUUACACCUGUCUGCUUAGUUCUCCUGACUGAUAAUUCUGUGCAAGGUACUCCAGUUUUUAUAUUGAGAAAAAUAGUGCAUAAUCAUUCUCUAAUCAGGAUUUUAUAUACAUUUACCACAUUUUCCUUCCCUAUCAUCUUCAUUCCAAGGUGAGGAGUCUAUUUAAUGUCGCUUCAUGUAAAAUCUAUACCUCUUAUCAUCCUUAUUACAUUUCUUUGUGGUUUUCUGUGACUGCAUAUUAUAUUUGAAAUAGGAUACACAGCCUUUAUUCUUUGUAAUUGUUUUUAUUUUCCUGGGAGUCUCAUUGAUCUAUAAUCUGUAUCUUUAAUAUUGUAAUAAAGUUCCCUGUAAUUUCUCUUA